rnacentral:rRNA from 1 species
GCCUAACAUCUAGCCCACACCAUACUCAUGAACCUUUUUCCACCCCACGUACACAACAAAACAUUUUACCUCUUUAGUACAGGCGAUGGAAAAACUUAUAGGCGCUUCAGAUUAAGUACCGCAAGGGAAAGAUGAAAUAAAAAUGAAACAACUUUAAAGCCCUAAACAGCAGAGAUAUACCCUCGUACCUUUUGCAUCAUGGUCUAGCUAGUUUAACCAAGCAAAAUGCGAACUUUAGUGUGAUGCCCCGAAACUAAGUGAGCUACUUCGAAACAGCCCUAAGGGGCCAACCCGUCUCUGUUGCAAAAGAGUGGGAAGAUUUUCAAGUAGAGGUGAUAAGCCUACCGAACUUAGAGAUAGCUGGUUAUUCAGGAGAAGAGUCUUAGCUCUGCCUUAAGUUUUUUUAUUGACGUAAACAAAUUCUUAAACUUAAGAGUUAUUCAAGUAAGGUUCAGCUUACUUGAAACAGGAUACAACCUCCAAUAUUGGGUAAAUAAAGGGAACCCAGACAAAGUGGGCCUAAAAGCAGCCACCUUAUGAAAAGCGUUAAAGCUUAAUCACUAAUUCACCUACAAUUCCUCAUUUCCUUAUUAACCCCUCACCCCUACUGAAUCAUUUUAUAAUACUAUAAAAAUUAUUAUGCUAGAACUAGUAACAAGAAACUGCCUUUCUCCUGAAUGUUGGCCAGAACCGAAAUAAACCCCGUCGGUAUUUAACGUAAAUGCUUUAAUUAUAGCAACACGCAACUAGAAAACCCUAUAAUUUUCAACGUCAACCUUACACCAGAGCAUUACAGGAAAGAUAAAAGAAAGAGAA